rnacentral:rRNA from 1 species
UACGUAGGGUGCAAGCGUUGUCCGGAAUUAUUGGGCGUAAAGAGCUCGUAGGCGGUUUGUCACGUCUGCUGUGAAAUCCCGAGGCUCAACCUCGGGCCUGCAGUGGGUACGGGCAGACUGGAGUGCGGUAGGGGAGAAUGGAAUUCCUGGUGUAGCGGUGGAAUGCGCAGAUAUCAGGAGGAACACCGGUGGCGAAGGCGGGUCUCUGGGCAGUAACUGACGCUGAGAAGCGAAAGCGUGGGUAGCGAACAGG